GACGAACGCUGGCGGCGUGCUUAACACAUGCAAGUCGAACGGAAAGGCCCUGCUUUUGUGGGGUGCUCGAGUGGCGAACGGGUGAGUAACACGUGAGUAACCUGCCCUUGACUUUGGGAUAACUUCAGGAAACUGGGGCUAAUACCGGAUAGGAGCUCCUGCUGCAUGGUGGGGGUUGGAAAGUUUCGGCGGUUGGGGAUGGACUCGCGGCUUAUCAGCUUGUUGGUGGGGUAGUGGCUUACCAAGGCUUUGACGGGUAGCCGGCCUGAGAGGGUGACCGGCCACAUUGGGACUGAGAUACGGCCCAGACUCCUACGGGAGGCAGCAGUGGGGAAUAUUGUACAAUGGGCGGAAGCCUGAUGCAGCAACGCCGCGUGCGGGAUGACGGCCUUCGGGUUGUAAUCCGCUUUCGCCUGUGACGAAGCGUGAGUGACGGUAAUGGGUAAAGAAGCACCGGCUAACUACGUG
rnacentral:rRNA from 1 species